UAGCUCAGUUGGUAAAGAGUCUGCCUGCAAUGCAGAAGACCCUGGUUCAAUUCCAGG
rnacentral:tRNA from 1 species